UUCCUACUAUUAAGAGCUAGGCUCACAU
rnacentral:piRNA from 1 species